GACGAACGCUGGCGGCGUGCUUAACACAUGCAAGUCGAACGGAAAGGCCCUGCUUUUGUGGGGUGCUCGAGUGGCGAACGGGUGAGUAACACGUGAGUAACCUGCCCUUGACUUUGGGAUAACUUCAGGAAACAGGGGCUAAUACCGGAUAGGAGCUCCUGCUGCAUGGUGGGGGUUGGAAAGUUUCGGCGGUUGGGGAUGGACUCGCGGCUUAUCAGCUUGUUGGUGGGGUAGUGGCUUACCAAGGCUUUGACGGGUAGCCGGCCUGAGAGGGUGACCGGCCACAUUGGGACUGAGAUACGGCCCAGACUCCUACGGGAGGCAGCAGUGGGGAAUAUUGCACAAUGGGCGGAAGCCUGAUGCAGCAACGCCGCGUGCGGGAUGACGGCCUUCGGGUUGUAAACCGCUUUCGCCUGUGACGAAGCGUGAGUGACGGUAAUGGGUAAAGAAGCACCGGCUAACUACGUGCCAGCAGCCGCGGUGAUACGUAGGGUGCGAGCGUUGUCCGGAUUUAUUGGGCGUAAAGGGCUCGUAGGUGGUUGAUCGCGUCGGAAGUGUAAUCUUGGGGCUUAACCCUGAGCGUGCUUUCGAUACGGGUUGACUUGAGGAAGGUAGGGGAGAAUGGAAUUCCUGGUGGAGCGGUGGAAUGCGCAGAUAUCAGGAGGAACACCAGUGGCGAAGGCGGUUCUCUGGGCCUUUCCUGACGCUGAGGAGCGAAAGCGUGGGGAGCGAACAGGCUUAGAUACCCUGGUAGUCCACGCUGUAAACGGUGGGUACUAGGUGUGGGGUCCAUUCCACGGGUUCCGUGCCGUAGCUAACGCUUUAAGUACCCCGCCUGGGGAGUACGGCCGCAAGGCUAAAACUCAAAGGAAUUGACGGGGCCCCGCACAAGCGGCGGAGCAUGCGGAUUAAUUCGAUGCAACGCGUAGAACCUUACCUGGGUUUGACAUGGAUCGGGAGUGCUCAGAGAUGGGUGUGCCUCUUUUGGGGUCGGUUCACAGGUGGUGCAUGGCUGUCGUCAGCUCGUGUCGUGAGAUGUUGGGUUAAGUCCCGCAACGAGCGCAACCCUUGUUCACUGUUGCCAGCACGUUAUGGUGGGGACUCAGUGGAGACCGCCGGGGUCAACUCGGAGGAAGGUGGGGAUGACGUCAAGUCAUCAUGCCCCUUAUGUCCAGGGCUUCACGCAUGCUACAAUGGCUGGUACAGAGAGUGGCGAGCCUGUGAGGGUGAGCGAAUCUCGGAAAGCCGGUCUCAGUUCGGAUUGGGGUCUGCAACUCGACCUCAUGAAGUCGGAGUCGCUAGUAAUCGCAGAUCAGCAACGCUGCGGUGAAUACGUUCCCGGG
rnacentral:rRNA from 1 species